rnacentral:rRNA from 1 species
GAUGUACGCUGGCGGCGUGCCUAAUAUAUGCAAGUCGAGCGAAUGGAUUGAGAGCUUGCUCUUAUGAAGUUAGCGGCGGACGGGUGAGUAACACGUGGGUAACCUGCCCAUAAGACUGGGAUAACUCCGGGAAACCGGGGCUAAUACCGGAUAACAUUUUGAACCGCAUGGUUCGAAAUUGAAAGGCGGCUUCGGCUGUCACUUAUGGAUGGACCCGCGUCGCAUUAGCUAGUUGGUGAGGUAACGGCUCACCAAGGCAACGAUGCGUAGCCGACCUGAGAGGGUGCUCGGCCACACUGGGACUGAGACACGGCCCAGACUCCUACGGGAGGCAGCAGUAGGGAAUCUUCCGCAAUGGACGAAAGUCUGACGGAGCAACGCCGCGUGAGUGAUGAAGGCUUUCGGGUCGUAAAACUCUGUUGUUAGGGAAGAACAAGUGCUAGUUGAAUAAGCUGGCACCUUGACGGUACCUAACCAGAAAGCCACGGCUAACUACGUGCCAGCCGCCGCGGUAA